rnacentral:lncRNA from 1 species
CAGCCUUACAUUUCAAUUUUUUUCUUUAAAAGGAGUGAGUUGUGUACAGGGCGUUUAAAUGCUUUAUAGACAAGGAAAAAAAAAACUGCCCUAGAACCAACUUAUUCAUCAUCAUCAUCUUCAUCUUCCUCUUCGUCUUCCUCUUCGUCUUCCUCUUCCUCAUCCUCUUCAUCCUCCUCGUCGUCUUCCUCUUCCUUCUUUUUCUUGCUCUUCUCAGCCUUGACCACCCCCUUUUUCGCUGCAUCAGGUUUUCCUUUAGCUCUGUAGGCAGCAAUAUCCUUCUCAUACUUCUCCUUCAGCUUGGCGGCCAUCUUCCCAUAGGGCUGCUUGUCAUCCGCGGCAGUGUUGGUCCACAUCUCUCCUCGUUUCUUUGCAACAUCACCAAUGGAUAAGCCAGGGUGCUCACCUUUGAUUUUUGGGCGGUACUCAGAACAGAACAAGAAGAGGCCGAAGGAGGCCUCUUGGGGGCACUGGGUCCUUGAACUUCUUUUUGGUCUCCCCUUUGUGGGGGAUGUAGGUUUUCAUUUCUCUUUCAUAACGAGCCUUGUCAGCCUUUGCCACAUCUUCAAAUUUCCCCUUUUCUUUAGCAGACAUGGUCUUCCACUUCUCUGAGCACUUCUUGGAGAACUCUGAGAAGUUGACCGAAGCAUCUGGGUGCUUCCUCCCGGCAGGUUUGCACAAAGAAUGCAUAUGAGGGCAUUUUGCCUCUCGGCUUCU